CAGGCAGCGGAACCACUGAGCUAAAUUCCCAGCCCAGUUCAUUCUUUAUUAGUAUCUGUUUGCAAAGCAUACUGAUCGCAGUCCUUGUGCGGAGUUACUACAGGAGACGGAGAGUGGGGGAGUUCUCAAGAAAACCAAACCAAAGCUGAGAGUGCAGAGAGUUGGGGCUGGAUUCCUGUUCCAUAAGUUGAUAUCAAGCAUCAGAUGUAAUUCAUCAGACAAGCACCUCAGACCCCAGGCAGAGAAUGGAGGCUAUCACAAGGAUGCACACAUCUUCAAGAGGCACAAACCUUUUCCUGAGUCAGGAGUUCAGGACACCAGAAGAGGGACCCUCACAAAUGAGGGCCAGGAAGUAAGUAGCUGGGAGCAGUGCCAGGGGCACGAUUAGAAAAGAUCUGGUUUUUGGAGAAAGAAAAGAGAUAAGUAUUAAGCAAUAUAUGAGUUUGAAGUUGUUUUGUUUUGUUUUUUCGGUACCGGGGAUUGAACUCAGGUCCUUGCACUUGCAAGACAGGCCACCGAACAGCUGAGAUAAAUCCC
rnacentral:lncRNA from 1 species